AGCUUAAUGAUGAUUGUCUUUUUGAUCGUUUAAAGCGAUGUGAAAACCCCAUUUCACCGGCUCUGAAAGCU
ensembl:snoRNA small nucleolar RNA, C/D box 102